UCAUCAUAUUUUUAUUUCUCACAUUUUCACAGUACACAAAUGACAAAUAUUUCAAAUGAAACAUAACUAUAUGCUCGAAAUGAUAGCCAAAAUUAGCCUAUUACAAUCUUUACAUAGUGUUCAUACAACCAGACCAGUACAGAAUACAAUGUAACUAGCUAUGAAGUACAACCAGAACACAAGGCAUAUUGAUAGAUAACAACCAUGCUUCAUCAUCUUCCUCUUCCAAAUUGCAAGAAACAAAACACCUAGCAUUACAAGGAUCACGCAUCAGAAGCAUAUAAAACAUCAAACGAAGAAAAUAAAUGGCAAGUAGUAUAAAAAUCAAGGUAGCACUAGUAUAUUUUAACUUAUCUUGCAACCAUCAAUAUAGUUUGCUUAUAAGAAAACAUAUGGUCUGAUGCUUAUGACCUACUAAAUUACUAAACACAAAUUGCACACUAUGUACUCAAUUUGAUACUUGCUUAACAGUUUCAAUGUAAACCAACGGUUAAACCUGAAAAGAUGCAAAGCUGAAAUCUAACUGAUGACUGUAGCAAGAGUGCUCCCAGCACAAUAUCACAAUUCUGCAUUUCUAACCAGCACAAGGGUUCAGCAAGCCAAUGCAUUUUGGUGUGGAUAUUCUAGACUUUGAUGCUGCUAGGUUCAUUAGUCAAAGGAAUACAUCAGGAACAAAGUGCGAGCAAUAGAAACAAAAAUGCAUGCGUACCUCAUGGAGGAGUGGAGGUUGGCGAAGGCGAGGGCGUCGUCGGGGUGGCCGGAGGCGGCGAGGCGACACUUGAUAGACGAAAAGUUUCAACAGACACAUAGUUCCGUGUUGAAUUGGACCGGCCAAUCCAGCUCUUAAACAGGCUUGCAGAUCGACGAACACUUGGCCAAUCUGAACAAUAAUACAGAUACAAAACAAUCAACUUGCUGCACACCAGAGGGGAUUUCUUUAGAAGAGAAAGAGAACUGGACAUAGAGCCACAUCCCACAUUAAUAAAUUGUUUGCAGCAGCUGUAACAUAGAACCAAUACAACUGUUGUAUGGACAUGAACAGCAGGAUAAGUGACUAAUGGUGAGAAAACUGAAGUUUGCAAGUUCUACUAGUCUCCCGACAUGGGUACUGUUUCAUCAAACAACAUGAAUGACAAAUUGCUUGAAAUAAACAUGCUAGAACAAGUAGUUGUUGGUCCAGUGAAUCCUAGAGAGCUCAUUUCUCAUGAUCAGAUACUUGCUAGAAAAAAUCACAAACAGAGAGUAUGCAGGCAGGGUACACAGAGACCAGGAGAAGCAGGGCGUGGGUGGCCGCAGCUGCUGUACGCUUCCGCAUUUCUAAUGGCCAUGUACGCUGUCACCAAUGUCAAAUUAUUUUCAUACAAACAUUUUCACAAACACCAUACAAGCAAACUCCAUUACACAAUAUGCAGUACAUAGGAACAGACGAACAGUCAACACGUAUAUAUCUAGUCAAUAAAAUAUGCAUGCAAAGUUGUACUGAUGUCGACAUGCUUUCAUAGUCAUAUCAUAGGUGUUUCACAAUUGAACAGAAUUGACAACCAAAGAAAUCAGAAUUGAACAGAAUUGCCGUGCAGAAUUAGUCAUAUGCAUAGGUGUUUUACAUAAUGAGGGGAGUUCUUGAUUAGUUAAGAAAAUCUCAAUUUUCAGGAAAGUUAAUACAUAUUUCCAUGCUUGUCUACCAAAGAAAUUGUAUCAACUUAACAAUUAGUCAUGCAUAAGUGUUUCACAUCAAAAACAUACAGAAGUGCAGACUCGAGAUUGACAAUUAGGAUGCAUGCUGAUAUCACCAUCGAUCUACAGGAACAGUCGUGCAAAGUUCAGCUGACGUAGACAUGCUUUCACAUCAGAAUUCAGAAACAUCAAAGUCUCGCUGCAUCUCAAAAUCAAACCGAUCUAACAUGUAGGCAGUGAUCAACAGAUCCAAUAAUACGGUAAGACAGCUUGCGAGUGUAAUUGUACAGCAGAACAGAGUUUAAUCUGAGUAGUACAUGUAGAUCUCUGUGUAUGAGUUGACGUAGGGGAUGAAACCCGAGUAGUACAUCCCGCCGGAGAGGGGGCCGAUGGAGCGGGUGACCCUGCCAUCGAAGUCGACAGCGAGCACGCGCUGUUCGAGAGGAUCCCACAUGACCACCUCGGCGGCGCCCUGGGAGCAGAGAGAGUAUAUAAUUAUAGGAUUUGGAUAUACAAGCUCCAAUGAUUUUAUCUACAAGUUUAUUCUUUCUUUUAUUAUGUCAUAACCAGAUAAAUGCCUUUUUGGCAACAUUGUUUCAAGAAAAAUGAGAGAGAGCACCUGAAUUCAUGAAGCGUGGUCUUCGUCUCCUGGAGUAAAUUAGAAGAAAUCCAACGCAGCUUCAGCUAUCCAAUAACCCAAUUUCAAGCAAUGCCACAACCAGCAAAAUCUACGUGACUGCAAUGUCCUACAACAAGUAAGGAAUCAAGCAGAAGCAGAUCAAACAUCAUUAUAUAUCAAUUCAUCAUAACAAAAAUGAGAUCCAAAAUAUUACAAGGAACUUCCUGGACUGAACUCCACGUCUCCACGGUCUACUCUCGGACGGUCGGUCCCUGACCACGAUUGCGAGCUGCUGCUCUCCGCAACUCUGUGUUCCUGCCAAGGCAUUGGGUGUGUUCCUGCUUCGUCAGCACGCGCUAGUACAAAUACACAGUCAGUCAGUCAUCUGGAGGUGGCACACUAAGUGCAUCAUAAGUGCACCCAGCCAUUGUAAUCUUUCUAAGUCGAUCAAAGCAAUACAAAGAAAUCCAGGAGCGACACGCCCCUGUGGCUAUCCACAAAAUCUCCAUCGUUUUUCAGUUCGCUGAGUUACAAAGUCGCUACGGUCGGCCGCAAGAAGUCAGAUCGAUCAGUCGCUAGCUUAGCUAGCUCUGCUAAGCUCGUACGUAUACGUGAGACUGCACGUCCGAGUACUACUAGCUAACAAAUAAUCAAUUAAGCUACUAGUCUGCUUUGUUGAAGUUAGCUUGCACGUACGUGCUUCGCCUGCUAGAGUAUACGAGCUAGCACUCUAGAGCCAACACCUAUUCAUUCUUUUAUGAUUUAGUCAAACAUGCAAGUGAAUUUAGAGCAGUAGCACUAGGGACUA
rnacentral:lncRNA from 1 species